UACGUAGGGGGCAAGCGUUGUCCGGAUUUACUGGGCGUAAAGAGCGUGUAGGCGGCCAAGCAGGUCCGUUGUGAAAACUGGAGGCUUAACCUCCAGACGUCGACGGAAACCGUCUGGCUAGAGUCCGGAAGAGGAGUGUGGAAUUCCUGGUGUAGCGGUGAAAUGCGCAGAUAUCAGGAAGAACACCUAUGGCGAAGGCAGCACUCUGGGACGGUACUGACGCUGAGACGCGAAAGCGUGGGGAGCGAACAGG
rnacentral:rRNA from 1 species